UCUAGUUAAGGUAAUUUAACU
rnacentral:miRNA from 1 species